ensembl:rRNA 5S_rRNA 5S ribosomal RNA
GUCUACGGCUAUACCACCCUGAAUGCACCCGAUCUCGUCUGAUCUCAGAAGCUAAGCAGGGUCGGGCCUGGUUAGUACUUGGAUGGGAGAACUGAUGGGGAAUAAGUUACCUUUUCACU